GGCAUGUAUUGGUUAAAAGAACAUAGUGCAAAACAGAUUAUUUCAUGGCAGAUCUCAAGUGAUAUAAAUAAUAUCAAGUCUUUAAAAUUAGUGAGUAGAUGAGAUUAUCAAAAUGGCUUGCUCUGUCUUUUGUUAUGUGAGAAAACUUUCUGUGCCACUAUUUAUAUGUUAUGAACUUCCUGUCUCAAACGAUGGGCCCGACAGCAUCAGUCUGGGCGUCACAGAGCGAGUCAGCCUACAGAGAAAAGGCUCAUGUGCAUGCUUCUUGUGGAAGUGCAGGCUCCAGGGAAACCAGGCCUGUCAGAGUAUGAUCUUCACGCUAGCCAGAAAUCUGUGGACCAUAACAUGGGUGUCUUUACAAUCACAGCAACAAAAGAGCAGAGAUGCUCUGGGUCUGUGGCAGUCUGGCUGAAGCUCAGAACAAAAUUCAAGGGAGUCCAGCAUUGCACACAGAGUUUCUUCUGCUGUAUUAAUUGAGAGAGAGAGAAGGCAGAGGACUUAAACUGUGUUACUCAAAGGUAAGUGUUUUGAUAGCCUGCUCAGUUCUCAGUACUUUGAGGAGUUCGAGAAAUCCCUUUAAACUGUGCACGUCCUAUUAUUUGUACAUUAGAAGUUGUUAAGGUGUCUUCACCUUCACUUGUGGAUUGUUUUCUGUCAUGCUUUAACUGGUACAUAGGCUACGCCUUUCUCCGUUUCACCCUGACAUCAUUCCCGGGCCUUUUUAUUUGUCAAAGGCUUGCAUUCCAAUUUGGGGACUGAUAAAGAUUGAGGACUUGGGGAUCCAAGAACCUUAAGUUCUUAUUGAGUGUUUGCUGCAAAAAUAAUGUUCUGACCAACUCAUUAACUAGCUAGAUGGACUUACUCUGCUUUGUAAUGUGUUUCAUACUUCCAUGCUCUAAACGAUGCUGUUGUCUGUCUUUGUCAAAUCAGUUGGAAAUUAAAUACAAAUUCCAUUUACAGGUCAUUAUUUUUUUGCAUUGCUGUUGUUUUGAUAGGAGCAUACGCGUGUAUGUUAAGC
rnacentral:lncRNA from 1 species